rnacentral:rRNA from 1 species
UACGAAGGGGGCUAGCGUUGCUCGGAAUCACUGGGCGUAAAGCGCACGUAGGCGGAUUGCUAAGUCAGGGGUGAAAUCCUGGAGCUCAACUCCAGAACUGCCUUCGAUACUGGCGAUCUCGAGUCCGGAAGAGGUGAGUGGAACUCCUAGUGUAGAGGCGGAAUUCGUAGAUAUUAGGAAGAACACCAGUGGCGAAGGCGGCUUACUGGUCCGGAACUGACGCUGAGGUGCGAAAGCGUGGGGAGCAAACAGG